rnacentral:misc_RNA from 1 species
GAUGAAGAACGUAGUGAAAUGCGAUAAGUAAUGUGAAUUGCAGAAUUCAGUGAAUCAUCGAAUCUUUGAACGCACAUUGCGCCCGCCAGUAUUCUGGCGGGCAUGCCUGUUCGAGCGUCAUUACAACCCUCAGGCCCCCGGGCCUGGCGUUGGGGAUCGGCGGAAGCCCACUGCGGGCACAACGCCGUCCCCCAAAUACAGUGGCGGUCCCGCCGCAGCUUCCAUUGCGUAGUAGCUAACACCUCGCAACUGGAGAGCGGCGCGGCCACGCCGUAAAACACCCAACUUCUGAAUGUUGACCUCGAAUCAGGUAGGAAUACCCGCUGAACUUAAGCAUAUCAAUAAGCGGAGGA